GAGUGUUACAGCUCUUACAGAAUUUGUCUAGCAGGUUUUCCAGUCUUUACCAGAAAUGCCCCC
ensembl:snRNA U7 U7 small nuclear RNA